CUACGGGAUGCAGCAGUGAGGAAUAUUGCACAAUGGGGGGAACCCUGAUGCAGCAACGCCGCGUGGAGGAUGACGCAUUUCGGUGUGUAAACUCCUUUUAUAUGUCAAGAAAAUGACGGUAGCAUAUGAAUAAGCACCGGCUAACUCCGUGCCAGCGAGCCGCGGUAAUACGGGGGGUGCAAGCGUUACUCGGAAUCACUGGGCGUAAAGGACGCGUAGGCGGGUUGGAAAGUCAGGUGUGAAAUCCUACAGCUUAACUGUAGAACUGCACUUGAAACUUCUAAUCUAGAGUAUGGGAGGGGGAGAUGGAAUUAGUGGUGUAGGGGUAAAAUCCGUAGAUAUCACUAGGAAUACCUAAAGCGAAGGCGAUCUCCUGGAACAUUACUGACGCUAAGGCGUGAAAGCGUGGGGAGCAAACAGGAUUAGAUACCCGCGUAGUC
rnacentral:rRNA from 1 species